rnacentral:rRNA from 1 species
GACGAACGCUGGCGGCGUGCUUAACACAUGCAAGUCGAACGGAAAGGCCCUGCUUUUGUGGGGUGCUCGAGUGGCGAACGGGUGAGUAACACGUGAGUAACCUGCCCUUGACUUUGGGAUAACUUCAGGAAACUGGGGCUAAUACCGGAUAGGAGCUCCUGCUGCAUGGUGGGGGUUGGAAAGUUUCGGCGGUUGGGGAUGGACUCGCGGCUUAUCAGCUUGUUGGUGGGGUAGUGGCUUACCAAGGCUUUGACGGGUAGCCGGCCUGAGAGGGUGACCGGCCACAUUGGGACUGAGAUACGGCCCAGACUCCUACGGGAGGCAGCAGUGGGGAAUAGUGAACAAUGGGCGGAAGCCUGAUGCAGCAACGCCGCGUGCGGGAUGACGGCCUUCGGGUUGUAAACCGCUUUCGCCUGUGACGAAGCGUGAGUGACGGUAAUGGGUAAAGAAGCACCGGCUAACUACGUG